rnacentral:rRNA from 1 species
AGAGUUUGAUCCUGGCUCAGGAUGAACGCUGGCGGCGUGCUUAACACAUGCAAGUCGAACGAUGAUGGGAGCUUGCUCCUGGAUUAGUGGCGAACGGGUGAGUAACACGUGAGUAACCUGCCCUUAACUCUGGGAUAAGCCUGGGAAACUGGGUCUAAUACCGGAUAUGACUCCUCAUCGCAUGGUGGGGGGUGGAAAGCUUUAUUGUGGUUUUGGAUGGACUCGCGGCCUAUCAGCUUGUUGGUGAGGUAAUGGCUUACCAAGGCGACGACGGGUAGCCGGCCUGAGAGGGUGACCGGUCA